rnacentral:rRNA from 1 species
CCUACGGGGUGCUGCAGUGAGGAAUAUUGGUCAAUGGACGAGAGUCUGAACCAGCCAAGUAGCGUGAAGGAUGACUGCCCUAUGGGUUGUAAACUUCUUUUGUCGGGGAGCAAAGAGAGUCACGUGUGGCUCAUUGAGAGUACCCGAAGAAAAAGCAUCGGCUAACUCCGUGCCAGCAGCCGCGGUAAUACGGAGGAUGCGAGCGUUAUCCGGAUUUAUUGGGUUUAAAGGGUGCGCAGGCGGAGGUGCAAGUCAGUGGUCAAAUUGCGGGGCUCAACCCCGUACUGCCGUUGAAACUGCAUCCCUUGAGUGCGCGAGAAGUAUGCGGAAUGCGUGGUGUAGCGGUGAAAUGCAUAGAUAUCACGCAGAACUCCGAUUGCGAAGGCAGCAUACCGGAGCGCAACUGACGCUCAUGCACGAAAGCGUGGGUAUCGAACAGGAUUAGAUACCCUUGUAGUC